rnacentral:rRNA from 1 species
CUUCCUACGGGAGGCAGCAGUGAGGAAUAUUGGUCAAUGGGCGCGAGCCUGAACCAGCCAAGUCGCGUGAGGGAAGACGGUCCUAUGGAUUGUAAACCUCUUUUGUCAGGGAACAAAGGCGGGGACGUGUCCCCGGAUGAGCGUACCUGAAGAAAAAGCAUCGGCUAACUCCGUGCCAGCAGCCGCGGUAAUACGGAGGAUACGAGCGUUAUCCGGAUUUAUUGGGUUUAAAGGGUGCGCAGGCGGUCUGUUAAGUCAGCGGUCAAAGCCCGGGGCUCAACCCCGGCCCGCCGUUGAAACUGGCG